rnacentral:rRNA from 1 species
CAGCGUAGGGCGCAAGCGUUGUCCGGAAUUAUUGGGCGUAAAGAGCUCGUAGGCGGUCUGUUGCGAUCCGCUGUGAAAACUCGGGGCUUAACCCCGAGCCUGCAGUGGAUACGGCAGACUAGAGGUAGGUAGGGGAGAAUGGAAUUCCCGGUGUAGGCGGUAGAAAUGCGCAGAUAUCAGGAGGAACACCGGUGGCGAAGGCGGGUCUCUGGGCCGAUACUGACGCUGAGGAGCGAAAGCGUGGGGAGCGAACAGG